UAAGCCACGGCAAGCUAGGUGCCCGUCGGCAUUGUCGGCGCGCCUGGCCCAGUCCGAUCCCAGGCUCGGGUCCAGCCAUGGUCGAGCCAGGGCUCCACGCACUGGAUGACCCGUCAAUCACACCGGCUUAGGGGAGUGGCGAGUAAACUUGCAACAUUUCUGAGCCGAGGGCCCGGACCUAAAACGUACACUUAUCGAGCGGACACUUAUCGCGAGGUGACUGUAUUGGACUCUUCCGCGCGUGAACCAAUUGUGUGACUAACCUCGGCCUUGUCCUGCGCAGCACGCACUACAUCAUCCACGUGCCCUACCACGUGCACACCGUGCACCACCACCACGUCAAGAAGGUGCACGUGCCCGUGUACAUCAAGGAGCACCACCACGAGGAGCACCACCCCGUCAUCAGCAGCCACCACGGCUGGGACUGGGACUGAGGAGCUCAACAUGGCCGAGCGGCGGCGCGGACCCCAGCGUCCCUCCAAUCUAGUCUCAACGGCCCGGGACUUCCUCGAGCAGCCUCGGAGCAGUGUUACCAUCAUGUACAAAUAAGUCAUCAUCACCACCAACACCACCAUCACCACCAUCCGCCCAUUCCCCAUCAACCACAUCUACGCCAUCGUGUACCAAACCAUCAGAGGAUGAUAAUCUCAUCGCAGAAAGAAAGUAAACAUAAUAAAAACAAUUUUGAUAUGUAAAACGAAA